rnacentral:lncRNA from 13 species
GUUUGUAUCCUUAAAAAUUAAGGAGAAAAAGCUCCAAGAAUGAGUUGAAGGCUGAAGUUAAACCUUCCUCAAGUGCUAAAGGUCCUGAGGAGCCAAAAAUUUGUGUCCUGGAUUGCUCUGGAUCAAAGCAGAAGCCAUUGGACCGAGCUCAAGUGAUCAGACCAAAAGGGCUCUUUACAAGCUGAUGGGGGGCUCCAGAUUUAACAAAAAUUGAAAUUUUAACUCUCCUGCCUGCAAUUAAAGCCAAAGAAAUUUAUAUAAAAUUUGCUCUUCAUCCAUUAUUCCAGAAGCCAAGAUUAAUGUGUUGACCUCCAGCCUUUUGUUAUGAGUUUUAUAUUUGUUGUUUUGUUUUUAAAGUGUCGGUUCCUGGAUUCAUGUGAUUCUCUUGCACCUUCAGCUUCAAUCCGUGUCCCAACUAUCCUUAGGGAAGGUCUUUCUAUUCCUCUUCACACAGCUCUGGUGAGGGAAGUGGCUGCUCUGCAAGAGAGGAUGGAGAAACUCGCCAGAUCUCCAGCUCCUUCAGGUCCUUGAAGGCCACAGUGAGGUCACCCCAAAGCUUCUCCUCUCCAGGUGAACAAUCCCAGCUCUCCCAGACUUUCCUCGCAGCAGAGCUGCUCCAUCCCUCUGCGCACCCUGAGGCCUCCUCUGGGCUCUCUCCAACCUGUCCAUGACCGAGAAGAGCUGGAAACACCGAGGGUGAACCCUCAGAGGGCACCUCACAGAGGUGCUGAGCCUGCUGGAAAGCUGGGAGUGGUUUAAGCCCAUCCUGUGCUUUCUGGAGAGCUUUGGAGGUCUUAGAAAACAUUCUGUAGACACUGAAUUAUUAAAACAUGUUUAAAAGAAAGUUUAAAGUUGCCUCACCAAAGGGUUUUUACAUUGAUUGAAAAGAAACACCCCAA